AAAAGACAUUCCUGGGAGGAGGACUCGGGCACAGGACCCGUCAGGUGGGGGAGGGGAGAUAGGCUGGGGGUGCUGAGGACCACCUAGCCCAUGUCUGUCUAAAGGUCCUUAAGGCCCCAAACUCUGCUCUGAGGAGCUCUCCCUAGUGUGGUCCCGGUGCAGGGACACCUGUCCUCCUUGCCUGUAUUAUGGCUCUGUGGUCAGCACAUCCAAAGGGCAGCCAGCCCCUCAGUGCCCUCCAAAAGAGCCUGCUCUGCUCUCUAGGGGUAGGAAAUGCUUGAGACCCCUCAGAGCUGCUGUGCCCUUCCAGGUGACUGUGUGGUACAGCAGAUCCAGAGCCUAGUCCCUGGCCCACUGUCUGCCAGGCUGAACCCCCGGCCUGCUCCACUCCUGGAGGUUCUUGACAGACUAGGGUCCCUGAAGCAGUCUUUAGGGAGGGGGUCGUGGUAGCCGUGUGUCAUGCGAAAACCAAGGUCCAGAGGUUCCCCGGGACCCGGUCUGCCAUCUCCCCCAGGCAUUCCCACUGUCCCCCUCCCACCCCACCACCCACCUGCCUUGGCACUUUGUCACUGCAGGGAGGAUAAGUCAGGCAGGGCACCAGGGGCCUCAGAGCUGUGCAUUGAGCUGUGAUGGCUGCCCGUCCCCUCCCCCAGACACAGAGGUGUAGGUCAAGGCCCUGUGCCUGUCCACAGAGCAGUGUCCACGAGGAUCCCCCAGAGAUGGGUUCCCCAGGUUCGCGGGCAGUGGGGGAGUGGAUUCUCUCAGGCCCAUGGGAGGGUCUUCCAGCAGAGAAAGGCCUUUUACACUAAGCAGAGGGAGGACAGGCCUCUGGGAUGAUCCAGCACUUCCGAGUGCUGCUGAUACUGUCAACUGGGAGCCAGGAAUUAAAAAUAAAUGCCUGGCGAUGCAGCGAGAGGCACCGCCCCUCCCUGCCGAGCGGCUCUUUACCUCUCAUGCCUCUCUCCCAGCCUGAAGGUUAGGCCGGCUUGUUACAGGUGCUGUGAUUGGCCAGAGCAGGGUGGGCCAGAGGAAAGGAGGAGGGGUGGGGACCAGGACUGCUGCCAGCAGAGAAGACCCUGAGCCACCUUCAGCUUUGGAGUGGACACUUCCUCCCUCUGCAGCUCUGAGCAGUGCUCCCGGCCUCUGUGCAGGUUUAGAUAGCAGUCGGUUGGGGAGGCCCAGAGCAGGGGCUAACUCUUGCUGGGGAAAUGCACCCCAGGAAUUGUCUCUGGUAGCAGGAUGUGGCGGCGUCCUUGAAACACCUUGCACUGACCUUGGAGAGGGUGUCAGGGUGUCAGCAAGGACUCAGCAUGUGCUGGAGAGACCCAUGGUCAGCAGUAGAGAACGGAGUGCAUAGAAUGCGAAUCUACAUAAGUGGAUGUCACCAUCUAAGAAUCACCAGCUCCUGCUAGAGUCAGGGGGCUGCUGCUGCUCAGGGAAAAACAACCUUUGGUCCGGAGGCAAAGAGCAGCCAGCUGGCCCAUCACGGUCAUAGUCAUGAACAUGCACCUCCAGGAGCAGACCAAGGAGCUCCUACCUCAAUCCCCAGUGUCACACAUCCAGGAUCCAGCCACCGCCCCAAAGCCCCACCUGUGAGUGCAUGAGGCCUUGGUGUGACACCUAGGUGGUCACAAACUGCGACCCUGAUGACAGAGAGCCUGUGUGUGCAGGUCCCAUCCAAUCUAGAGAGGGAAAAGCUCAGCCAUGGCAGGUCCUGAGGUGCUGAGGGCAGAGCUGUGUUCACCCAGUGAAUGUACCCCAACACCUGACACACAGUGGGACCUGCUGGACAAAUAGAGAAUCAGCAGCAUCAAGGCCAGAGCCAGCCCCGGGAAGAAGCCCUGGCAGCUUUGCCUCCCCUCCACUCCCCAGCCAUGGAAGCCCCAGCUGGACUCCUUCUCCAGGCGACUGCCAGGGCCUGCUUGCUCUGCUCAGAGUCCUGAGGAUGGCACUAUCACAGGAGCCCAAGCUGGCUUUCCUCUGCAUCUGCUCAUGCUGCCCAUGCAGCUGUGCCAGGAAUCAUGACAGGCAGCCUGUACUGCAGCCCUGGCCCCACCUACUGUGCUGUUCAGGUCAUUCCAGGCUCCUGCAAAGCCCUGUGUGGUCAGGCCCUGGGCAAGCCCCGCGGUUGGCCUCUGAUGUCUUGGCCUGAUGAUCCCUGGGAUGCAGGGGACGGAGGGGUCAGUAUCAGAGCUUGCAGCACAAGCAUCUAAGAAACAAGCCUGGGUCCUGCCAGAAAGGUACACCCUUGGAUAUCACAAGAUCUGACCAGUGUGCCCCAAGGUGACCCUCAAUGGCCCUGCCCAUGCCUCGCUGCACAGGUCCUGCUGUCCCCCCCUACCCCGCCCAGCCGCGCAGCCCUCUUGCUCUUGCCCAGCACCACUGCAGGCUGUGUCUCAGGUGCCCAUGCAUGCCAUCCGCUCUGCCCCAAGGAAACCAGCUGCCACCUUGCCCCCUUGUCCCAUCCAGCCUCUGGACUGGUCUCCCAUAUAGGGGCUGCUUUUAAGAAGGAGGUAGCAGGGCUGGGGGUUUAGCUCAGUGGCAUAAGUACCUGCCUUGUAAGCAGGCGAUCGUGAGUUCGAUCCCCGGUAUCAAUAAAAAUGAAAAAGACAAAAAAAAAAGGAGGUAGCAUUGGAAGUCAACCCCAGGAGUGAGGGACUGGGGAUUUAGCUCAGCGGCAUAAGCACCUGCCUUGCAAGCAUACACUGGGUGCCAACAAACUCAGCAGUGGACAUGUGUGGAGGCCCCGUCAGAGACCCCUGGGCCUCAGGAGUCAAGGGGCAUCUUCCAGGUCUAGCUGGGUUUUCCCUGAGCAUCUGUGAAGAGGGUUGACACUGUUGGCCUCGUCCUAGGGAGGGGCACACAGCACCCAGCUGGCGCUGUGCCCUCCCGGCCUUCAUAGGGAUCAUAGAGCAGCGUGGGGUUACAGGGCCUCUUGAGCCCCCUGUUUUUAUUUCUUCAUCUGAGCAGUGUCUAUUCAUUUGUGGUACCCAUUUUUGGACUGUUUAUCCUAUACUCUAUUGGAGCUGGGGGAGGCUUAUCAUUUAUGCACUUGGCUUUCUUCUCUGUGCCUUGCCUGUCAGCUCUUUCUGUGGUCUCUUGGUUCAAGUCCCAGGGGUCUUUGGUGCCCGCUGCCUCAGGAUGCCCUUGCCCUCCCCCAUGCCUGCUGUAAAGCAGCCGACUCAGGGGCCUGGCUGAGCUCCUCUUUGGGCAGAGGGGAGUUGGGGAUUGGAGAAGGAGGAGUAGUGGGCCCUGCAGGAUGGACAGGAGGGCAAGCACUGGCUCCUGAUGGUCAGGCAAGGGCACGGCUGGUCAGCCCUGAGCCUCAGGCGCCUGGAGAGAACGUUCUGGGGUCCCUCGGAACAAGAGUCUGGGACAGCAGAGCGUGCCUCGGCCUCUAGCUGCUGUGGAGACUGCCAAACAACAGCCCUAUACCCUACCCCAACCUGCUGCCCCCAGAGGCAUUGAGGGGGCAGGGCUGCCGCCCAUGGCGCACCGGGCACAGGGAGCCGCUGCCGAGCAGAAGUCCUUGAUUAUCUCGAGUGGCAGUGGGCAGACCUGCGGCUGGGCGCGGGCGAGCAGCCCCGAGGGAGGUGACACAGACAGGAAGGCUUGGAUUCCUUGGUUCCGAUUCCGCACUGCACUGCGGUCAGUCGCCGGCGCCCAGGCGAAGGCCGGCGGGCAGGGGCCCCGGGGGCGGGGCCUGAUUGGUGGGCGGGACCUUGUCUGGUAGGAGGGCGGAGACACAUGGCGCCCCGCCCCGCGCCGGCCCCUACCCGGCAGGCAGCGCGUCCGCGCGUGCGCAGGCGCGCGGUGUAAGUGAGCUGCUGUAGGUGAGCCGGGCGCUCCCGGCUCUGCAGAUGGGCUCCGGGUCCCUAGCGCCCGAGUCCCCACCGCCCGUGACCGAGAGCUGGGUCACCGGGCCGGAAGACGGGCGGGCCACGCACAGAGCGCCUUUGUUCUUCGGCGCUCAGCCGGCCCGGGAGGCCCCGGGUCCCCAUACCCGCGCACGGCGGGCCCCUGAGGCGGGCCGCCCGGCUCCGCGCCAGCUGCCGGCUGGAGUCCACGCCCGUCGGGGCAGCGUGGAGUCCCAGCAGGCCGGCGCCUUCGCACCCGUUUCCCUCAGGUCACUGGUGGGCUGGCUGCUGCCUCUCGGGGAAGCCUGCCGUCCCGUGCUUGGCCUGUUUCCGAGUCCCCGCAGCAGUGAUUCCCCCCACCCCCGCACCGCCCGGGGAGCUGGGCCGAGGGAGGAGGGGGCGCAGCUUCUGUCCCACCGACCCGGGCUCACUCCCUGCCUGAGAUUCCCCCAGGCGCCCAGCAGUCUGGCUGGGAACAUUCUGGGGUCCCUGACCAGGAUAAGCGCCGCUCUGCCUACCCACCCCGCCCUGUACACUAGGCAGGCUGCUGCAAGCGGGCGCGCCAGAAGCCGGCCACCAGCAGGAGGCUGGACACCUUUCCUCCCGACCCUCCUGACCCGGCGGAAAGCAAACUGCAAGCGGCCACAGCCCAGCCUGGCACAUCUGAGUGUCACUGAGUGCCUGUGGCCUCGCAGCCUGGUGGGAGCUGGUGCUGCUCCCUCUGGGACUCCACAGAGAUGCCUCUGCCCAGAUCUGGUGAAGGGUCCUGGGCCGGCGGGUGGGGUGCCAGCAGGGCAGCUGCUCUCUCCCCACAAGCCGACCUGCAGGUCCGGCCACUGGGAGGCUGGAGCUCUUGCUGUGAGUCCGGGCGCCCUCAGCCGGAGGAGACCCGACAUCCUUUGAGGACUUCCUUGGAAGACCUUGCCGCAGCCGGCCUCAGCUCCAGGAAGGGAGGUAGGGUGGGCAGGACUGAAGAAUGGGGCUUGGGGCACCUAAGGACCUUCUUGUUACAGGUAGCCCAGCGCUAAGGUGGGAAGGCUCAAAAGCUGGGGAGGGCAGCCCAGGCGGCAGGGUAGGAGGGGCCUCUGUAAAUGGUGCCAGGGUCUUGGUGGAGUUCAGUCUUCCUGCCCCCUCCCCUACUGUGGAAUAGCUGAGGGAUCCAUAGGAAGCUCUGUGCAGCUCGAUCCCCUCACAGCCUGGCCCCUCACCUGUCUCCCUUGACGUCCGGGUGGUCUGCAGGGUGGGGGCCUCACGCACUCCCAGGCUGUGUGGCCUAUGCAAGGCUAGGUGGAGGAGGUCCCUUCCUACCUUAGAGGGAUGCCUGAGGGGGAUGGCACUUUGAAGGACAGACUGAACCCUUCAGGGUCUUUCUAGCCAGCAUCCCCACAAGGCCCUCAGAGCUCCUGGUAGUGGCUACUGAUUCUCUUGUCUGGAUGCUGGGACAGUCACCUGGUCUUGGGCAGCAGCCAGCAGUCCUCCACUGUCCAUUCGGCCUGCUGCCUCCCUGCACUGUUCUUUGCAAAUGCUGGCAGCUGGGCAGGGAGCCUGGUUGUAAAGGGAGAGCCCUGCCAGAACGCAUGUGCCCACCACACUCACUGCCCGGCAUGGGCUCAGCCUUCCUCUUGACUUAGCUGCUCAGCUUUCAGUUAGGUCCAGGGUCACCUGCCCCAGAGGACUUCAGUGUUGGGCCAGGACCAUGGGAGCCCAUGUCCUAGCAGGGGCAGCCUCAGCCCUGCAGCGUGUGCUCCUGCCUCAGGGUGGGCUGUCUUCAUGACCCAGAGGCCAGCCUGACAGGGAGCUGUUCCCUGGGAGCCCCACAAAGUUUGAGUCCAGGGGUCCUUGCCACAAGGGAUAAUUAACAAGUCUAUAGGUACAAAUUUUACAUGACCCAGGAUCAAGUGCCUGGGAAUCUGAAGAUUUUUAUUUUUGUUUUUUAUUUUAUUUAUUUUAUCUUUUUGAGACAGUCUCAUUAUGCAGUUCAGGCUGGCCUUGAGCACACAGAAUCCUCCUGCCUCAGUCUCCCAAGCCUCCCUCAGAUGCCUGACUUGGGAAUCUGAAGCUUUUUGAACCCUAGCUUUGGGCUGGGCCUCUUUACAGAAAGGUCUUCAUGGGAGAAAGGAAGAAGGUCAGCAAUUCGCUGUCCUGGGUUUUGUGGCAGGUACAGGAGGAAGUGGGCAGGGAGCAGUGGGCAUCCUGCUUCCACUGUUUCUGAGACAGACCUUGUUUGCCACGUGUCUCCCGCCCCUCACCACUGCCCUGUUGGGAACCUUUCCCUCAAGUUCCACGGCCCAGGAGCAGGAGGUGGGUCAUGAGUAAGCUGGCCAAGUCAGACCUGGGCACAGGUAAGGGGGUAAUGGUCCUGCCUUGUUUCCCAUGGUGCUGGGAUUCCCCAGAAGCUAGGUUCUUCAUAGGGUGUCCUGGCAGCCAUUGAGUGAGGGCAGCCACCCAGGACUUCUUAAGGUAGGGCCUGUGGCGGGCGGAUGAGGCAGGCAGGAGCCUCUGACCCGUGCCUUUGAUCUGUAGCCGCAAUGUCACAAGGUUUCCCCUGUGGGGGCUGCAGUGGGCCCUGCAGUGUUUACCCAUUGUCCAGCUGUAGUUUACAUUUUUAGUGAUCCUAAACUGGGCAGGUGGGAGAAACACUGGACAUAGUUUGAAGGGUGGCAGCAGAUACUGGAGAAAAUGACCUCAGGAUUUAGCCCGGGUCUCAGAUAGGUAACCUCAGACUGCAGUGAUGAAACCAGCGCGCUGUGGUCUUGAAGAGCCUUUCUCCCCAUGAUUCCCUGUAUCUAUCAAAGCGAGGCUUAAUUGCUAACUAAAUAAAUUUAGCCUCUCAGGGCUGGGGAUUUAGCUCAGCGGCAUAAGCACCUGCCUUGCAAGCAGAGAGUCAUGAGUUCGAUCCCUGGUACCGAUAAGAAAAAAAAAAAAAAAACUUUAGCUCCGAGUCUCAUCUGUACCCAUCUCAAAAUAAAUUGAGUCUCUGAAAAUGCGGCCUGAUUAUUUACAUAAGCGCAGCAAGAAUAGGUGAACCACACUGGCGUUUGCUUUGUUGCAACUUUCUGUGGAUUUCAGACUGGACUUUUAAAAGUUUCUUGGGACAGGUGUGACAAGUCACAAGUUUGAGAACAGCCUGGAAUACACACUGAGACUCUAUCUCAAGGAAAUAAAAGAACCAAAAAAGGUCCUUGAGGCUCGGAAGCCCAGUAGGUUGCUGCACCAGAUUUCGUCCGCUGCAUCUGUGGGUCGGGGGAGUUACUCUCUUCUUGAUCCUCCCUGAAGUGUCUCGAGCUUCCUGGGUAUGUGUGAAGUGGCAUCCUCCUCAUCAACAGUCAUGCCCACAAGGUGCCAGGCCAUUCUUCUGAGGGCCUCUGUUCACACCGCGAAGUCCACCUUCAUUCCUUAGCUAGUCCAAAAGGGGGACACUGGGGUCUUAGCCCUGGUACUGCAAUGGUGUUUCCCCUUGUGUCUUCUUACAGAGAAAACAAAUGCUUAUUGAAUUGCUGCAAGUAAACAUGUUACCAUGAAAAUAAGAUUAUUCACUAAUAGCUUGUGAAUUCUGCAAGAAUCAGGAAGAGGGGAAAAGAUGGUUUCAUCUUUGCUCAAAAAGGUCUGAGUUACAUCCUGGCCCAAGCACCAGCGAAUUGUUUCAGCAGUUGUUCGCAGGCAAUUAAUUCUCCUCCUGACAGAUGGAAGCACAUCAUCACGGGGUUCUGAAGCUCUCCCUGGUACAGGCUGCUCCCCAGGUGACCAGAAGCCUGUCUUGCUCUACCUCCCGGCCUUCUGUGAAUCCUGGAAGGAGCAGCGAUUUGGGACUAUAGCUGAGUGCAAAUGCUUUCAUUUCAGAAAAGUAAAAUAAAACUAAGACAAUCCUGGGGCUAGAGAUUUAGCUUAGCAGCAUAAGCGCCUGCCGUGCAAGCAGGCAGUCAUAAGUUCAAUCCCUGGUACCGAUAAAAACGAAAAAGACCAAAAAAAAGACAAUCCUUAGUGUCAUGAUUAAGUAUAUAAAGUUUUAUUAAUGAUGCACUUGACAAUGAAAGUUGGUUAUUUUUGUCUCAUGCAACAUUUUUUGGGGGGAGCCAGGAAUGGAACUCAGGACCUUGCACUUGGCAGGCAAGCAACGUGCCACUGAGCCCCCAGCACCUCGUGCAAUGUUUGAACAGACAGAAUGAUGCUGGCAGCAUAACAGGCAUGCAGGCUGCUAAGAGUUCCAUACAGUUUCUGCAACACAUACCAACACCCAUAAACAGCCCAAAGAAAAGUCUCUUUAUUGACUGCUUUCCAAGUAAUACAUUAAGUCAAAUUUCAUUUCCCUUCUUAUGACAUCAUCUUUUGAGAUAAUUCUAGGGGCCCUUUUGGAAAUGCCCCAUUACUUCAAAAUCAAGAAGAUGUAUUUAAGAUUUGAUUUUAGAAGUUGUCAAAUGUACCACCGAGUUUUAAAACACUGUUAAAUAUGAUCUAGAUUAUCUAUUUAUUCAAAGUGGCAAAAGGUUUGUAAAGGCAAAUUUAGGUCACAUAGUUAGGAACAAAACUUGGCCCUUUUAAUAGGAAAAGACACUUUUCAGAAACAAAGGGCCUACUGAGGGAACCUGAAGCGCAAGGAAUGAUGCUUAAGCACAACCAGCGCCUCCUAGGCCGAUUACCCACAAGGUGGGGAAGAGCCUUACUCCUCAGCAGCCUUCCUGGGCUGGAAGAGUCCAGAUUUGUGUCAGUGUACUGUGAGCAAAAAAGCUAAUUUUGAGGGGCUGGGGAUUCGCUCAGCGGCAUAAGCGCCUGCCUUGCAAGUGUGUGGUUGUGAGUUCAAUCCCUGGUACCAAUAAAAACGAAAAAGAAAAAAAAAAAAACAGCAAA